CGUAAACACACAAGGCGCAAAUGUUGCGGCGCACGGUAUCGUCUUUUGCCUUGGGCGGGCGCCAUUCCGGCGACCAGAGGUUCUGCGCUGCGCACACACACACACACACACACGACCCAAGUUGGGCGAGGUCAGUCGCCACAAAUCCUUUUUUCUUUUUUUCUUUUUGGACAGAUACUUUUUUCUCACUAUUUUUUUGGGAUGGGUCUUUGGGUUGUGUGUUUUAUUUUUCCUAAUGUUGGCGCUUCCGCAGGCGGAAGAGAAGCGCCAACGCAAAGAGCACGACCGCGGCACAGGCGACUGCGUACGCGAGCACGCCCUCGACGCUGCCGGUGACCAACGAGACCCCCGUCACGAGAAGAAGCCCGAGAAUGGCCCAGUAGACAGCGGCGGGCGAUACGUGUUUGCACGCCAUGUCGCCCAACUUGGUGCCGACGGCGCUUCCUACAGUCGCCACCGCAUAAUACGGCCAUUGGCUGUGCCAGUCAAAGAGCCCGUGCCUAGUCGCCAGGGCGAGUGUGGACGAUCCGUACAUAUGUGUGUGGUGUUUUUUUUUAAAAAAAAGCGUCAGACAAAUUGUCGAGUGUGCGCACAGACCACAACAAAGAGGCUGGCGUACGAUGCGUGCCGACACGAAAAAUAAAAAAAUCCAAACAAAAAAUAAACCAAAAGCCAAAAGCGAUGACGGGCGAUAUGGCAGAGAGGGGAGAUGGGCGGUCGAAAAAACAAGUACCCCCAUAAAAAGCCUAUUUGGAGCACCGAGACGGCGCCAAAGAGGCACAUCAUGGUCGCUCGCCUGCCACGACCAACAACACAAGGGAUUUGUCGCGCCGGCGCAGGAUAACCAAAAAAAAGGUGGAAAAAAAUCGAGUCAGCAUAGACGACAGCCGCAGACAAAAAGAAAACACCGCGCCGGCGAGAGACGACUUUAGAAGCAACAACGAUUGCAAAAGAGUGGAUAGGAAAAAAGUGGCAUACAUGCGCUCGACAGGCAUGGCAACGAUGGCGGCAAAGACC
rnacentral:lncRNA from 1 species